CAGUGAAGACGUGAUUCUGAGUGUCUCAAAUUUGGGGCACAUUUAUUAAAAAUUUAAUGAAAUAUAAUAAAAUGACGGUGCUACAAAAAAAUAUAAACAAUUUCAAUAACUAUAAGGCAAAGAAGAGUUAAUAAAAGUACAGGAUGCCAAUGGAAUUGGAAGAUUUAAACUACACACGUGGCUUGCAAAUGCCGGCACUUGCACUAUGGAGCACCCCUUAUGCUGAUCUACAAGUUCGUACAUAUUCCUCAUGGCAUAGCGACACUUGAAACUUAAGCAUGCAGCAAAAUGGGAUGAACUAUCUUCUUUUAUUGCGCUUCUACAAGCUCAAGUUCAACAAUGAAUAUUAAAGUCUGCUGCGCAACGAGUUGUGAUUUCCAUUUUACAGUUUGAUUCAAUGGACUUCUGAGCAUUUAUCUAACAGCCGAGGGUAUUAAGACUGAACUGAAGUGAAAAUCGCACUAUUAAUGGGAGAGCACUUUUAAUUACACAAAAGGUAUGUUUCAAACCGAUAUAUGACUGUUGUGUUGAUUGAGGUGAUGAACAAUCCUUUAUCAGGAUCCCUCUACUGAGUAGAACCCAUUAAAAACCAUGCGGUCAAUCUUACAACGUCUGAUUACAAACUUGCAAUGCAUUAUUUAAUAAUGUUUAAGAACGAAACUGAUAGAAAAAUUUAAUUUGCAGUGGUUGAAUGUACUACAAAAUACUCUCCGCAUCGAUUUGGAUUAUAGGAUAAAAGCUUGUGAAACUGCUUGGUUUGACUGUUUCUGGUGUUCAAACAAUUAUUAAGAUACGAUGCAGUUAACACUGAAGAACUUAGUGAUAUAUGCAAGCUUUUUCUAAAGUUUGGACCACUGGCUUUAUUAAAAAAAUUCACAU